rnacentral:rRNA from 1 species
AUUGAACGCUGGCGGCAGGCCUAACACAUGCAAGUCGAACGAGUGGCGGACGGGGGAGUAAUGUCUGGGAAACUGCCCGAUGGAGGGGGAUAACCACUGGAAACGGUAGCUAAUACCGCCUACCAUCGGAUGUGCCCCGAUGGGAUUAGCUAGUAGGUGGGGUAACGGCUCACCUGGGCGACGAUCCCUAGCUGGUCUGAGAGGAUGACCAGCCACACUGGAACUGAGAAACGGUCCAGACUCCUACGGGAGGCAGCAGUGGGGAAUAUUGCACAAUGGGCGCAAGCCUGAUGCAGCAAUGCCGCGUGUAUGAAGAAGGCUUUCGGGUGGUAAAGUACUUUCAGCGAGGAGGCGGUACUCGAAGAAGAAGCACCGGCUAACUCCGUGCCAGCAGCCGCGGUAAUUC